UAGGCUGCCGUGUGACGUGUACCUUCGCCCUCCGAGAGCUUUUCUCCCAGCCGGCCCAAACUGUGGUUGAUCCUAGAAAGACCUGGUACUGGAAUCCAUCUUGAAUAUGGUACUUUUCCAUGGGGAUGGGCAUAUUGAACCAAAGGUUCCUGUCCUUGGAGAAAGACUGUCUAAAGAAUGGAAAGCAAUCAGUCUUUGUCUUCAGCUGGCUUUUGAAACUGCCUUGACACCACCCUAAGAAGAUACACACAAAGAAACCUGGAAACAAAGAACUCUAAAGACCUCUGAAAAGCUUUAGACCCAGGACAAAGUAAAGAUCAACUCUGAAUUGAUGCAUUUUACUUGAGAUAAGAACAGCUGUUGAGGAUCGACUGGGUGGAAUGCUAAUGAAAAAGAGGACGGUGGCGUUGAAACAAUUGACCGACAUUCUCCGAACGACUAAGAGAAUCCUACAGAGGCAAACGGCUCACAUCUCUGGCUCCUUCUCCCUCUGAUUCCCAAAGGACCCAUGGCUGGGUGACACGCCGAAGGAAAUGAACAAAGGGAAAAUAGGGAAAUAGAUUCCCAGCACUGAGAUGUCGACAUUUUGAACGGUACUGAAAGAAAUCCGCCAUGCUGCUGUGGCCUGCUACCACGUCAAAAUACAACUGUGUGAGGGUGAGGGUGAUUUUUGUGUGUGUGUGUGGCAGCGUCUGUAUUUUUUGGUAGUACAAUAUCUACUACAAUGUGCUCCUGGCUCAUGACCCGGGGUCAGGCAAAACAAAUCUAUGUUAGUCUUGCUAACCUUUUCCCAACUCCUUCCCAUAUCCUCUUGAUGGGACCAGAAUUCCAGAUCAACACCUCCUUGAGAUGAAUGGGAGCAGUAUCGUCAGUUUUGUUGUGUUUGGAGUCUGGCAGACAUCCACUGUAUCAGCUUGAGUUUGACAGUCACCCUGACAGCCUUAAAGGUGAGAGAGAAGAGUUUAGAGUCUAUGGCAGGGGCUGGCUUAAAGUUGGAAACUUCACAGCCCAAAGCAGCGUAGAAAAUAGAUGGCUGGUUUGAGAAGAUGGUUAAGACCUUGCCACAGCUGUGUUGAAAUCUGGCAAGUAGUAGAGUUCCUUACAAUGACUGAGAUACAGUAUGGACCUGUCUCCACAGCUUAGGCAAAAGAACAGUCAAUUUGUCGGGGAAGAUGGCGCCUGAAUUUCUAAAGAUCGGCUCCUUUAGCUAAUAAAGUUAGCCUGGAUUUUAACUCAUUGGGCUGAUGGUGCAGGAGAGCACGUUAGCAAUAAGCAAUUAGCAAUAAGCGAGCUUCCUAAUGCUUUCCCGCAUCCUGAUUGUGGUGCGUUCUGUUGAGCAAUUAGGUGAGCCCUUAGGUUGGGUUCUGCAGGCCGGUUACUCUCUGCUGUUAAUUAGGAUCAUGUGACUCGGGGCUGUAGAGUGCAGCUGGACAGAUUUGGAGCUGAGUGCAAAGGCUGAGCAAAAGUCUAUCAAUGACAUUGGUACCUAUGGGUCUGUUGGACUCACUGUUCAAAGCUCAUCGUUGCAAAGGAAGCACCGGGUGGCCAGGAAGGGGAACUAGAGGCAGCAACGAAGGGGUCAUGAUGCAGUGUGGACAAGGCAUAGGGUGCAGCUCAAACUCGUCAAUCGAUCAAAGCACUUUCACGAUGGAGGGUUUUGUUCUCUUUGUGGCGGGAGAGGGGGAUGGAAACACACACAGAUCCGUUGCCAAGCUGGGGGAUAGAACUCCUAGAGCUCUGGACGACCACUGGGCCCAUUUCCUGCCACGUCUAGAUCUCCUCGGCCCCCUUCAAAUGAUGUGUACAGGGUCAAGUGUGGGGAGUCGGCUGUGCUGAAGGUGGAGUCCGCGAGAGCCCCCGGACCCAAGUGCUGUUUUGGGGGCAUACUUUUUUGUUGUGCUCUUUUAGUCUGUGGAACCAGCCUUUCAAACAGGAGAUGGCUGUGUGUGUGUGUGUGUGUGUGUGUGUGUGUGUGUGUGUGUUUGCGUGACUCCCUGUCAAAAAUCUCCCCAGCUGAAUUUCACAGCAGCAAUAAAUAGCGUUGGAGGGGGUUGUGUGGUAGCUCUCUUCCCUCAGGGCUGGCCCAUCCCUCCUUUGAAUCUCACCGGGAUUAGGGCUGGGCUCUGCUGUGGGCAAGGGGGAGGAUAGACCCCGAGUUCAGCAGCUGGAUGAGGUGAGGCCGCUGGGGCCACGUGGGGACUGUUAAACUUGUUCGCUGCCCGGGUGCUCUGCUGCGGCCGUGGGCCGUGCCGCGCUUUCUAACCCCCCUCAAUUUAAACAUUGGUGCGGCUGCCAUUUAUUCCCAGGGGGAGGAAGAGCUGAGGUAGAUUUUGCCGUUGGGGAUUGCUAGUCAGGUCCCCUGCAAUGGGCUAGCCCACCCCAGGUGUAGGGGGGUGAGUUAGCCCGGGAAAUCCCAGGCCUAAGGUGAGCCUGGUCCCUAGAGGGGAAUCCUGGCCCUCGGAGUGAAUGCGCCUUGAGCUACCUUGCAGGGACCAGCGGCUACAUAGCUAGUCAGCGUUCCCGCUAAGCU